GAUUGAACGCUGGCGGCAGGCCUAACACAUGCAAGUCGAACGGUAACAGGAAGCAGCUUGCUGCUUCGCUGACGAGUGGCGGACGGGUGAGUAAUGUCUGGGAAACUGCCUGAUGGAGGGGGAUAACUACUGGAAACGGUGGCUAAUACCGCAUAACGUCGCAAGACCAAAGAGGGGGACCUUCGGGCCUCUUGCCAUCAGAUGUGCCCAGAUGGGAUUAGCUUGUUGGUGAGGUAACGGCUCACCAAGGCGACGAUCCCUAGCUGGUCUGAGAGGAUGACCAGCCACACUGGAACUGAGACACGGUCCAGACUCCUACGGGAGGCAGCAGUGGGGAAUAUUGCACAAUGGGCGCAAGCCUGAUGCAGCCAUGCCGCGUGUAUGAAGAAGGCCUUCGGGUUGUAAAGUACUUUCAGCGGGGAGGAAGGUGUUGUGGUUAAUAACCGCAGCAAUUGACGUUACCCGCAGAAGAAGCACCGGCUAACUCCGUGCCAGCAGCCGCGGUAAUACGGAGGGUGCAAGCGUUAAUCGGAAUUACUGGGCGUAAAGCGCACGCAGGCGGUCUGUCAAGUCGGAUGUGAAAUCCCCGGGCUCAACCUGGGAACUGCAUUCGAAACUGGCAGGCUUGAGUCUUGUAGAGGGGGGUAGAAUUCCAGGUGUAGCGGUGAAAUGCGUAGAGAUCUGGAGGAAUACCGGUGGCGAAGGCGGCCCCCUGGACAAAGACUGACGCUCAGGUGCGAAAGCGUGGGGAGCAAACAGGAUUAGAUACCCUGGUAGUCCACGCCGUAAACGAUGUCUACUUGGAGGUUGUGCCCUUGAGGCGUGGCUUCCGGAGCUAACGCGUUAAGUAGACCGCCUGGGGAGUACGGCCGCAAGGUUAAAACUCAAAUGAAUUGACGGGGGCCCGCACAAGCGGUGGAGCAUGUGGUUUAAUUCGAUGCAACGCGAAGAACCUUACCUGGUCUUGACAUCCACAGAAGAAUCCAGAGAUGGAUUUGUGCCUUCGGGAACUGUGAGACAGGUGCUGCAUGGCUGUCGUCAGCUCGUGUUGUGAAAUGUUGGGUUAAGUCCCGCAACGAGCGCAACCCUUAUCCUUUGUUGCCAGCGAUUAGGUCGGGAACUCAAAGGAGACUGCCAGUGAUAAACUGGAGGAAGGUGGGAUGACGUCAAGUCAUCAUGGCCCUUACGACCAGGGCUACACACGUGCUACAAUGGCGCAUACAAAGAGAAGCGACCUCGCGAGAGCAAGCGGACCUCAUAAAGUGCGUCGUAGUCCGGAUUGGAGUCUGCAACUCGACUCCAUGAAGUCGGAAUCGCUAGUAAUCGUGGAUCAGAAUGCCACGGUGAAUACGUUCCCGGGCCUUGUACACACCGCCCGUCACACCAUGGGAGUGGGUUGCAAAAGAAGUAGGUAGCUUAACCUUCGGGAGGGCGCUUACCACUUUGUGAU
rnacentral:rRNA from 1 species